CCUACGGGAGGCAGCAGUGGGGAAUAUUGCACAAUGGGCGAAAGCCUGAUGCAGCAACGCCGCGUGAGGGACGACGGCCUUCGGGUUGUAAACCUCUUUUAGCAGGGAAGAAGCGAAAGUGACGGUACCUGCAGAAAAGCACCGGCUAACUACGUGCCAGCAGCCGCGGUAAU
rnacentral:rRNA from 1 species